GGCGGGUUAGGUCGUCUGGUUCGCGGUCUUUGGCUGCACAUUCCCGGUGUUUUUCUGCUUCCAGGAGUCAGCGGGAUGCUGGGGUUCAACAGAUGCCGGAUUUGCAGCCUGGGAAUGCGGCUUCGGUGGCAGCCACUCCACAGGUUCCCGCGACGUCCACUCAGGAUUCUACGGCCCAGCGGUUCGGUGCAGCCGGGGGAUCGGUUGGUUUUGGCGUGACAAUGACUCUAAUAAAUAAAAUUGGCUGUGGCCUUUUCUAUCCA